UUUUUUUUGACGGAGUCUCGCUGUGUCACCAGGCUGGAGUGCAGUGGAGCGAUCUUGGCUCACUCCGCCUCCCAGGGGCGGGGUUUCACCAUGUUAGCCAGGAUGGUGUCCAUCUCUUGACCUCGUGAUCCGCCUGCCUGCGCCUCCCAAAGAGCUGGGAUUACAGGCCUGAGCCACCGCGCCCGGCCGUACAGUUUGUAUUCUAACACCAACUCAUAAGGGAAUAAACCAGGGUUACAAGUGUUGCUGCCUCACCAUGGACAUCCCACAGGACAAUCCACUGAACAAAUAACCCUUUUGUGUAGAUCCAGGAUACUUUUCACUUCCUAAACAUAAAUCCCACCACAUCUGUUCAACCAGCUCUGCUCCAGGAUAAAAAAAUAUAUAUUGAUGAAUUUCCAGCCUUGUUUCAUAUUCUGUUGUUCCCGGCAGCAGAUUUAUUUUUUAUAGUUGUAAACCGCCAAGUCAUUUUUUGGUGCUGUCUUUUGUUUUAUAAAGUCUUCCCUAUAAAGACAAACUACAGAGCAUUAUCAAGAUUUUCUGUUAAAUUGUAAAGUUCUUUAGACUUAAAUUUAAAUUAAGAUAUAUUCUUUAAGUACAAAUGAUAUUUUUAAAUUUAUCUAAGGGCCUGGUGGAGUAUGAAGACAAAAAGAAAGAAAACUCUUAAAGAGGGUCACCUUCACUGAUAUUGGCAAAUCCUUGUGUUUUCUGUCUGAAAGAUGAUUCAUGAAUGUUUUGCAUCACUUUCCUUUAGAGAAAGAGUGCAUUCUUAAAGCAUAAACAAUACCUAUUACAAAGCAGCUUCAGUUUUU
rnacentral:lncRNA from 1 species